GAAUAGACGUAACGGAGAUCGCCAUGGAGACGGAUCCCACCAAAGCCUUUUUGAAUUUUCGACUGUAUCGACGCGUUCGGCAUUGUGAAGAGAUCGUAGACGACUAAGUAAACAGAAGGAAGAAAAAAGAUUAAUAAAAAGAUCUUUAAAGGGAGAAUCAGACUUUUUAAUUUGUCGGAUCUGUAUCCUGCAACUUUUCCUGCAAAAACCUAAUUUUUGGUGAAAUAAUGACUGCUGGAUCUAUUUUAACACCUCAGAUUAUACCACUUCGAAUUUCAAGUAGCAGAGCAAAACAUGAAAUAGAUACAAAUACUCUUGUUGAAAUGAAAUCAGAUACACGUGAUGUGACCAUACAUUUUACUAUUGAUGGAAGUAAACCACAAUAUUUUAAGAAGUUUGAUUAUAGACAUCAUAAUACUUUUAAGUAUAAGGAACCAAUUACAUUACCACCUGGGAAAAUAACCAUCAAGGCAUUGGCAGUUACAAAAGAUUACAGAGAAAGUGCCAUUGUAACAAAAGUAUUUGUAGUAGAACAUGCAACUUCAGACCCUCAUGACCUUGAUAAAGAUGAGAAUUUCCUGAAUUGUCUCACUAGAAAGCAGAUUGAAAGUGAAUUGCCUGAUUUAAAGCUAAGAAAGAAAGAAGUCAAUAUGGAAAGUGAAUCCAGUUGGAAUGGUGCAGCACAUAAAUUAACAGGUUUGUGGAAUGAAAAAACAUCUUUGUCCUUACAUGUUGAUGGACCAUAUUCAUUGAAAAAAUAUUUGAAUGUCUCAAAUAUUAGACAAGAGUCGAACUCUGCUGGGUUGAUAUCUCAGUCACAGGAUGCAGUACUUUGCUUUGCAUGUGGUGCAGAAAAUCCACUUCACAUUAAAGAAUGUAUGAUCUGUGAGAGCAAACUUUCUGAAGCUCAGAUGAAUAUCAACUUUCGAAUCAAACAACAAUCAAUUAUUUCAUUGCCAAUCUCAAGACCUGACACCGAAGAGAAAAAAGACCAAGGAACUCAGACUGUUGGAUUGUUCUACCCAUCUCACAAAUAUCUAGAGAAGAAAGAAAGUGAGGCAUUCUUGCAAAAGGAGAAGCAGAUUAAGACAAAUAAUCACAAAUCUCUGCUCACAGCUAUCAGCCCUGGAAGAGGCUAUUGGAGGAAGCAAUUAGAUCAUGUCUGUGCACAUCUUAGAAGCUAUACACAAAAUAAUAUGGAGUUCAGGACAUUAAUUGGAGAGCCUCAGAUGGGAAAGCUUAUUUCUGCUACUGUUCAUAAGGAUGGCUAUCAAGUCAGUCUCCAGAUCAAUUAUGCACUUGCUAAAAAGGUUUGUGAUAGGUAAGGCAAUUUGGGUGAAAGAAGGAAUGAAUUGCUGGUAGAAAUUCACAAACCCCAAGAAGUUCUAUAGCUGCUUUCUGGUGCAAGGAGCCGCUCAUUCCAGUACCUUCUCCGGGUCCAUCUUCACCCCUUCAUUGAGAUCCGGUAGCCCAGGAUUGAUAAAAAAAUAGCCAAUGGUAAAAUGAAACAAAUACAGAUACAACACAGAUACAUGUGAGCUGUUUUAUUUAUUUUACCUUGCGGCGCCUUAAAGCAAAGUGCCACCAACAGUGUGUGAUUUACAAUGGAUCUAACCAUUGUGAAAGAAAGAAAACACAGUUUUAAAAUGUAACAAACAAUAUUUAGGUACAAUUACAAAGAAAUUGUACAAGAGAAACCAGCUUCUACUUUUUUGUCUUUUCUCCAUGGAAGUUGAGUCAUGAUGGUGAAAAGAAAAGAACUGAAAGAACUGACAUUGAAGAUGGUUGAUCUUUUACAUUUUCCAGAAAACAGUAGCCAAAGAAAGACAAUGGAACAAGAUGACACUAAGUAAUAUCCAAAAAUGUAAGGAUGAGUGCCUGGAGAGAUAUGAUAAGAAUGUGAAGAUUUACAAUAGAAAAGGAGAAAAACUUCACUGGAUGAUGUCAAUGAAGCCACGUUACAUUGAUUUAAAUAAAUGAGGGUCCUUAACACCCAAAUUACUGGGCCAAUGAUCCAAGAAAUUGCUAAAAAGUUUGCAAAGGAGCUCGGGAUAUCAGAUUUCUAAGCAUCAAGUAGUUGGCUCAAGAAAUUUAAACUGUGACAUGAGAUGUCCCAGAAAGUAUUGUGUGGUGAAUCUAAUGGAGUUCCAGUAGAAGUUGUUGAAGAGUUCAUUGAAAAGUUUCCAGACUUUGCCAGUGGCUUCAAAGAUGAUAACAUCUUUAUGCAGAGCGUGGUCUCUUUUUCAAGGCAAUGUCUGACAGGAGCCUCGUUAUGAGGGGUGACAAAUGUAAGAGUGGACAACUUUCUAAAGAAUGUUUCACAGUUCUGCAGUGUGCCAGCUUAACUGGAGAGAAGCUAAAACCUUUGGGGAUUGAUAAAUCGGCAAAGCCACACUCAUUCAAGAACCUGCAGCCCAAAGACCUUCCUGUCACCUGGAAGUUUUUGGGUCAAAUGGACCCAACAACUUGACCAGAAGGUAGGGAGAGCUCUAGCAGAGGACAACUUUCAAAAAAUCCAUUCAGCCUUUAUAUCAGCCAACUCUUCUCAAGAUUUACUAGAACUAUAUAAAAACCUAGUUCACAAGCUACAACCACUACUAGCACGUGCCCCUAGCUUCUCAGCUAAGAGACCUUGCAUUGCCUCCAAACCAUGGUUUGACAAGGACGUAGAAGCCAAGAAUGCUCUUACUUGGCAUAUAAGAUGUAUAAAACUGAGAGAGGAAAUGGCAAUAAAACUACCCUUAAACAUCUUCUCACAGUCAAAAAACAAUUUAAGCAAUUAAUUGCAUUUAAGAGAUAAGACACAAGGUCUUUCUGGAGCACUCAUUGAGGCAACUUGGGAAUUUAACUUUUGAGGGAUGUGUGAAGAUCCAUUGAGUGAGAGAAGAAGGCAUACAAUGAAGGAUUUACCUAAGUGGCUCCCGGUUUCAGAAUCUGAAAUGAAAUCUCUUAUUGGCCAACUUAGAACUGGGAAGGCCCCAGGAGCUGACUUCAUUUCUGCUGAACUAUUAAGGAAUAAUAUGGCCUAGUGGAUAUCUGUCCCAGCAGUGCUAUUUACCUAUAUCGAUACCACUGGUCAUGUCCCAGAGGAUUGGGGCCUGGCAACUGUUGCCUCAAUUUUUUAAAAGGGAAAGAGAGACAACCUUGCUAAUUACAGACCAGUAAGUCUACCAAAUAUAAUCAGCAAAUUCUAUGCCAAACACUUCCAAGAUAAAUUAAAGGAGUGACUGGAUCUUGAGAACUUGAUUGCUGAAGAGCAAGCUGGGCUUAGAGAGGGGAGAGGCACCAUAGAUCAGUGCUUAGGCCUCCAUCAUUUGAUUGAAAAAUAUGCAUCAAAUAGAUCUAUAUCAUUAUAUGCUGCCUUUAUAGAUCUCAAAGAAGCUUUUGAUAUGGUUAUCAGGACUAAGCUAUGGAAGAAGUUGGAAGCUGCUUCAAUUGAUCAUAGAAUUCUCCAUUUGUUACGUGUCUUACAUAGUAAAAUAUCCCUCAGGGUUAGAUGUAAUAUGCAAGGAUCACUCUCGAAGUCAGUCCAAACACAAAAGAGGGUUACAGAGAGAUGCAUUUUGGCCCCCUUGCUUUUCAAUUUCUAUAUUAAUGACAUGGUAAAAUGAUUAAAGAAACCAAAUUAUCAUCCCUCAAAAAUAGGCCUUUAUGGACGGGGAAAGUGUAGUAAUCAGUCCUUAGUCAUUGAAGCGUAAAGAAAUGGCUACCCACACGCAGCCUUUAUUUGUUUAUAUAGAGCUUUACAAAAUAAAAAAGUUACUGCAUGGCAAUAGCAUUUCAUUGGCUAAAAUCCUUUACCAAUCCUCAAGAGUAAAAAGCUAGAGGCCAUAAACAGGGAAACUUGUUGUUCACCAGCCAGCCUUAUCAAACUGGCAAGGUCACACAGACCUGCGCACUUUCACGUCACUAUAGUGAUGUGAGGGGGGGAAGAUAGAUGCAGAACAAAGACACAAGCAUUGGGGGGGCAGUUUUCUGGACACGACUUUUGCCUGUCUAUCACCUCUACAUCUCUCUCCUUUUUGUUUUGUUAGACGAAAUAUCGCCGUAAGCGGGGUUAAUAAAAGGAUUAUAAUCAGGAGAGGAGCAUCCUUGCAGUUGUUUAUAUAGGGCCAAAACUUGACCCUGAGGCAAUGUGAGAGAGGAUCUGCUGGGAUUUAAAGCUCUAAUACAUAUAUUGCAAAAUGAAGGAAUACAUUGCAUGAAACAACAUCCACCAACCAAAAUAGCACAAGUUAUGACUGAAUAACGUAGGAUAUUUCCCAGUAAUCCUGUGGGUAACCAAGCCCAAAGGCUUUCCCACCAAGAUCCUAAAGUAUCCAUUUUCAAAUUAGAGGCCAAAUUGUGUAAAAUAUCAAUUUGAUGCUGAAUGGUUCGUGAAUUAUCAGAAAUAUUGAAACAACACAUGCCCUCAAAACUUUCACAACCCAAAUGUUGGCGUAGAAGCAAAUAAUCAAUUGCGGCACAAUUUUGUAAAAUAGCCUUUCUCAAAUCGGGCAGCUCAUGGUUGAUCGCUGAAAUAGCUGAAGAAGUAGCAUUAAUUGUUUUUGCUAGAUUACAUGCAAUAGCAUUAAUGUUGAGGUGAGCACGAACAGCAAGUCCUGGUACACCCACUAAAGAUAUAGCCAAUGCUACAUAUUCUGCUUGAUUAAGUAAGGUUGUCUCAGAGUCACAAGUAUUGUCUAGCGUAACCGCACAUCGAGAACGGCUUGAAUGAACUUGUUGUUUGGAAAGCAAAACAGGAAUCAGCCGGCUGAGACAACACUGCGCUUCACUAAUAUUAGCAGGAAUAUAAUUAAAAGUUUCUUGACCACAUGUGAAAAACCAUCCUUGCGGUAGCCAAACAUGUCCAAAAUGAAAAGAAGUCUCUUCAAAAGCUGUACAGUUUAAAACAGGUGAGCUAAUGCGACGACAGUGAGGUUUUUUAUUUGAAGAAGUACAAUUAACUAUUUUUGCACGUUAUAUUUGCAGGAAUUGCUACCACUGGGGUGUGUAAAGCAAUAGCAUCAGGGGGUGGAUAAUAAGCAGUAACCCCCCCAUCUAGAUAUAGCUUUAUAGUUAAAGUUUCCAUUUAAUAAAAUUGUACUAUAGUCAGUGAAGUUUUGAAUUACUGCAGAAGGGGUGCAAACAGGAACUAAACAUGUAGAAAGCAAAUUUUCCAUGUCAUAUGCUUCAGAUAAGCAAAAGGCAUCAUUGUGUGUGAUGUUAGCCAGCUGCACCCAUAGAUUUUGUUUCAUUCGUUGCUCGAAUGAUUGUUUGGGUGGAAUGACAGCUGCUGUUGCCAUAGGGCAGAUGUUAAUGAUCAGACACAAGCAAAUGAUGGCUAAGGAAUUUGCAGUUAAAACCGCAAAAAUGGCAGCGCACAGGUUCUCUGGGGUUUGCUCUGCUUGUUGCUGCUGCAGCAUCGCCUGUGCUUUGGCAGUCAAGUUUUUCACAUCUCCCCAUGUCACUGGCGCCUGGCAUGUCGGGAUCGGAUUGGUUGCUGUGCCAUCUGUAGAGUCAACUUGGCCAUUUUCGGGGCUGGAUCCAGGGACUGGUGCCAUGACAUCCUUGGCUGGGCGAACACAAUGCGCUGGAAUCCACACCGGUCCUGUUGGAGUAAGUACAGCAGCAUAGCCCCACCCCCAAGUGAUCAGAGGGACAGGUCCCAACCAUGUUUUGUCAGGUAAAGCCCGAUAAUAUACUAGAGGGGGAGGCAAGCUUGUUUUUUGUUGGAAGUGCCUCUGAUAAGCAGUUACAUUUUGAAUAGAAACAUUCAAUUGGUUUAAUGUGAAUAACACUUUUUGGACCUGCUGUGUUUAUCCAUGACAAAUUGGGUACCCGAGAGCCCUCCUUUUUUGUUUGUGAAGGCAGUCCUUAAAGGUCCGAUUAGCACGUUCCACGAUGGCUUGACCCAUGGAAUUAUAGGGAAGACCAUGAAUAAGGACAAUAUUCCAGGUUGUACAAAAUUGUAAAAAGGCCACUGAAGAAUAGGCUGGCCCAUUAUCAGUUUUUAAGGAAGAGGGCUUACCCAAGGCUGUAAUAGCCGAAAAAAGAUGAGAAAUAACAUGUGCAGCUGUUUCCCCUCGUUGAGGCAUGGCCCAAAUUGCUCCUGAAUAGGUAUCAAUGGAUAAAUGAACACAUUUCCAGGGAGCUAAAGAGGGAACAUGGGUAACAUCCAUUUGCCAUAGUUGAUUAGAGGCAAAACCACGGGGAUUAACUCCCGUGUCCCCCGAUGGAGAUGCCCCAGAACAUUGGGGACAGAAUAAUAUAAUUUGCUUGGCUUGGUCAAUUGGAAUAUGGCAAGCUUAUGCCAGCCCUCUAGCAUUUUGAUGAAAAAAGGAAUGACUGAAAAAAGGGUCUGAAAAUAGCGUGGGGAAAGCAUGAACUGCGGCAUCUGCCUGACUGUUGCCUUCAGAAAGAAGCCCAGGAAGAGAAGAGUGACUGCGUAUGUGAGAAAUGAAAUAUAAAUGCCUCCUAUUUUGCAGCAGCUGCUGCAAAGUUAAAAACAAAGCCAUGAGAUUGGGAUCAAUCCUGGGCGUGAUGUAAGCACCUGAAAGAUUAAAAAUACGUCGACACAAAUAAUGAGAGUCAGAGAUUAAAUUAAAAGGCUGUUGAGAAAAGGUGUGAAAAGCCAAGAUAGCAGCAGCUAAUUCUGAGCAUUGUGGUGAAGAUUGUAUUGCAGUGUAGGACACUUUCCAGGUAUCAUCAUGAGGAUCCUUGUAAGCAAUUGCUCCUCUCGUUUUUCCUCCAUCUGAAAAGACAGUAGAAGCUUGUGGCAAGGGAGAAGGAGAAUGCAGUGGGCGGACUGGAAAGGAAGAAGUUAUUAAACAAGUAAGUCGAGGAUCUUUAGGCAGAUGAUAGGAAAUAGAACCUAUAUAAUCAGUCAAAGAGCAUUAAAGAGAUAAAUUAUUUUGUGAAUAAAAUUGAAAAUCAGACUUUGGAAUAGGAAGAAUAAUAUUAAUUAAAUCAGUUCCAUUUCGACGACAAGCUCGAGUGCGUCCCAAGGUUAUGAUUUCAGCAAUAGUCUGGAUAAAAAGGUAGAAUGUUUUGUGAUGGGGAAUGGGGUAGGUACAGCCAUUCAAUGCAAUAUACCUUUUGUACUUCUAUCACAGAUAGUACUCUGGUAGGUAAUUUACUAGUAGGAAAAAUCAAAAGUGUUAACUGACAAUUUUUAUGUGGAAUUCUGUCCACAAAUUGAGUAUUCAUGAUGUCAUUAAUUUGUGCAACUGUGGCAAGUGCCACAGGCGGAACUACAAUGAGAUCUCCAGGUUGUUUUCCUUUGGUCAAUAAAUCAAAUAACGGACUGAGCAAAUUUGUAGGCAAAGAAAAAUAUGGGCGAACCCAAUUAAGGGUACCCAAUAAUUGUUGCAAAUUGACCAAUGAAAUAAUUUUGGGUAAGCUCAAACGAGGAAAAACUGGGGCAGAAUAAGAUUGCAACAUUUUAUGGCCUAAAUAGAGAUAAGGAGCAUGUAGCUGUAUUUUUUCUGGAGCUAUCUGCAAACCAUAAAGACCUAAAUCAUUUUGCAUUUCUGAAAGCCAAUUAGAUUGUAUUUUUGGUGCUCCAACUAAAAUAUCAUCCAUAUAAUGAUAUACCAAAACCAAUGGGUGACGUUUGUGGAAAGAAUCUAAUGCUGCAGCGACAUAAAGUUGACACAAGGUGGGGCUGUUUAACAUUCCUUGUGGCAAAACUGUCCAGUGACAACGUUUGCUAGGUUCUGAAUGAUUCACUGCAGGCACAGUAAAGGCAAAUUUUUCCUGAUCAGGGGGACAUAGAGGGAUGGAGAAAAAACAGUCCUUUAAGUCAAUUACCAUUACUUCAUGAUCUUGAGGAAUCAAAUUAGGAUUAGGCAUUCCACACUGUAAAGGGCCCAUAGGUUGAAUACAAGUAUUAACAGCCCUUAGGUCAUGAAGGAGACGCCAUUUACCACUUUUCUUUUUUAUAACAAAAACAGGAGUGUUCCAUGGACUAGUGGAAGGCAUCACAUGACCAGCAAGCAGCUGAUCGUUAACCAGCUGGUGAAGAGCCGUUAAUUUUUCAUGUGAUAGGGGCCAUUGAUCAAUCCACACUGGCUCUUUAACCAGCCAAGUCAAUGGGAGGGCAGUAAUCUUAGUCUUCCAUGGUGAGGUUGGCACCCAGCUUACUGAGCAGAUCACGUCCCCAAAGGCUGACAUGAAUAUCUAAUAUGAAA